AUAGUUAUUACAGGCUGGAAAGGCCGUGGGCUGGCCCUUUUAUUCGACGCUUAGUGACAGUGAGUGUGAUGCCUUAGUUUAUUUCUUUGGAUGGUGCUUCUUGUGGCAACGUUGGCCUUCGCAUACAUUGAUUGGUUUGUUCUUAUCCUGCUUUCUCCGUGACAUGCAUGGGGUGAUUUGGUUGUGGUUGCCACUUUCUUUUUUCUGGUUGUUGCUGGAUCUUCUUCUUCUCUAGAGUUGUUCAAUCAUUUAUUCGUUUGUUGUUGUCUUCUCUGGUAUGCGGUGCGGCCAUGGCAGACACG
rnacentral:lncRNA from 1 species